rnacentral:rRNA from 1 species
UACGGAGGGUGCAAGCGUUAUCCGGAUUCACUGGGCUUAAAGGGUGCGUAGGCGGGCUUGUAAGUCAGUGGUGAAAGCCCGGGGCUUAACUCCGGAACUGCCGUUGAUACUGCAAGCCUUGAGUACAGUUGAGGUGGGCGGAAUACAUCAUGUAGAGGUGAAAUUCUUAGAUAUGAUGUAGAACACCGAUUGCGAAGGCAGCUCACUAAAGUGUAACUGACGCUGAGGCACGAAAGCGUGGGGAUCAAGCAGG